UCCUUCUUAGCUCAGUUGGUAGAGCGCGUCACUAGUACCGGCCCGGGAUCACGUGAUUUCCCACGGUUGUCGUAACAAUGACGAGGUCAGUCGUUCAAAUCGGCUAGCAGGAA
rnacentral:tRNA from 1 species